rnacentral:rRNA from 1 species
AUUGAACGCUGGCGGCAUGCCUUACACAUGCAAGUCGAACGGCAGCACGGGUGCUUGCACCUGGUGGCGAGUGGCGAACGGGUGAGUAAUACAUCGGAACAUGUCCUGUAGUGGGGGAUAGCCCGGCGAAAGCCGGAUUAAUACCGCAUACGAUCUACGGAUGAAAGCGGGGGACCUUCGGGCCUCGCGCUAUAGGGUUGGCCGAUGGCUGAUUAGCUAGUUGGUGGGGUAAUGGCCUACCAAGGCGACGCUCAGUAGCUGGUCUGAGAGGACGACCAGCCACACUGGGACUGAGACACGGCCCAGACUCCUACGGGAGGCAGCAGUGGGGAAUUUUGGACAAUGGGCGAAAGCCUGAUCCAGCAAUGCCGCGUGUGUGAAGAAGGCCUUCGGGUUGUAAAGCACUUUUGUCCGGAAAGAAAUCCUUGGCCCUAAUACGGUCGGGGGAUGACGGUACCGGAAGAAUAAGCACCGGCUAACUACGUG